AACGAACGCUGGCGGCAGGCCUAACACAUGCAAGUCGAACGCCGUAGCAAUACGGAGUGGCAGACGGAUGAGUAACACGUGGGAACGUACCCUUUGGUUCGGAACAACUCCGGGAAACUGGAGUUAAUACCGGAUAAGCCCUAUGGGGGAAAGAUUUAUCGCCGAAGGAUCGGCCCGCGUCUGAUUAGCUUGUUGGUAGGGUAACGGCCUACCAAGGCGACGAUCAGUAGCUGGUCUGAGAGGAUGAUCAGCCACACUGGGACUGAGACACGGCCCAGACUCCUACGGGAGGCAGCAGUGGGGAAUAUUGGACAAUGGGCGCAAGCCUGAUCCAGCCAUGCCGCGUGAGUGAUGAAGGCCUUAGGGUUGUAAAGCUCUUUCGCGCGCGACGAUAAUGACGGUAGCGCGAGAAGAAGCCCCGGCUAACUUCGUGCCAGCCGCCGCAGUAAAAC
rnacentral:rRNA from 1 species